rnacentral:misc_RNA from 1 species
GGGGUGCGUCACUUCUGCCGCUGCAUCACCGCCUACUCUCCCCGUUUUCAUUGCGAUCAUUUGCCUGCGACUUUGCGGUGAUGGUAGGGACACACACACACUCACACAGAGACAGACGCGCGCCCACGUGGAGGCGCCGCGCGCCCGACUUUUCUGCUUUUCCUUGCUGACUCCUACACACGGUCCUCUCAUCCUCCGCACCGGUUUUCUCGCGCUGUGGCAUUCAAGAGGACAUAUACGCGUCGUUGAUCGAUCAUGAUCCCGCGCAAUGUGCCAUACGAGCAUAGUCCGCCGCCUCGCGACAACAUCGUGACGGUCGUCAUGCCUGGCGUCACCUCCUGUCGCUCCCUGCUCUCCCGCUACACUGGUGGGGAUCCGCUGACGGUGCUGUGCAACUGGUCUGAUGUGGAACCCACAGACCCGCUGUACAUCGCAGAUGCGGGUAAGAAUCGGUUCACCGGAAUGCCGCUUGCUCGGCGACUUCGGCGCGCCUUGCUGCAGUGGCGGCGAGUUGUCAUGAGCGGGAAGAGUCACCGGUCGGACAGUGACGACGACGACAACGUUGCAGAGGCGCGGCAGCAGACAUCACCGGACUUGGUGCUUGCCGGCGGCAGCGACCGACGACAGCGUACGCGUGGCGACGAAGAGAGGAGCACCGCCGCCACGGUGCAGGCGGCAGAGCUCGGCCUCACAGAUCCCCCAGUGCUAUACAGAGCAACGUGCCGCAUUGCUCCGCGGCUGCUACACGGGGUUCUUGACUCGCCCGAGGUGGCGGAGGUGCGGCACCGUGGGUGGUACCGUACUCUUAAUCCCCUGCAUUGGGGCCUCGUGGUGAAAGAGCUCCUUGCGUGCUGGUGGUUCAGCGUGCGACCUUUUCAGUGGUGCUACUCGGAGCCAGGCAGGACGAACAUAGCGGGUAUGCGAGACCAGGCAGCCUUCACGCGUGAAGUGCGGCGUGGUGUGCGUCAUAUGAAGGUCGCAACGGCAGCGGAAACGCAUGGCGACCAGGCAGGCGUUGAGGCACGGGAGAGCACCUCAAUGAGGAGCAAUAAGAAGCACCUGGUUCUCUUUGGUCUCAGCCGUGGUGCCACGACGUGCUUCUACUCGGCCAUGAAACUGUCGCCAGAGGAGGCCAAGCAUGUGUCUCUUGUACUUGUCGAGGCACCGUUCGACACCCUGGAUCAUGUCAUCGAUGCAUCGUGUUGGAUUCCGCGGCUCAUGCGGUGGUUUGUGCGGUCGUUCGCCGACUGGCGCGGCACACGCGAGGAGAAGCUGGCCUACGACUUUGACCCAAAGGAAGUACACUUGCGCUGCCCCAUCGCCUUCGUGAUGUCUGUCAAGGACAAGCGUGUGCCCAACGAGUGCACGCAGGCGCUGAUUGACCGCGUGCGACGAGAGCUCGUCCCGCACGUCAUACCCGCGGUAGAAGUGCUGGUGCUGCAACAUAGUGGGCAUGGCACUAUGGCAGUCGGCAGCAAGGAAGAUCAGGGCGCGUACGUUGCGUUUGUGGAGCGGCUAUACGACACAUAUUGCUCUUCGUGACACGCUUGACACAGCUUCAAGGGUGAGGACACCAUGAGAAGAGGACUAGUAGAAGAGAGAGUUGCAAGGUGCUUCGGGUCGUUCUCACUGCUUCCAUCGCCCCUAAUAUCUCCCACCCCCCUGAUGGCGGUGGGGCACACCUCCGUGCGUGGUAUUAGAGCCUCCAGUGUCACCGCUCCGUGUGGGGAAGCCGAGCAGCCCCCCCCCCCCCUUCUCCCCCUCCUUUACCUGUCAAAUGCUGAACCACUUCCGGUCAUGAAAG